rnacentral:tRNA from 13 species
GCCCCCGUAGCUCAGUUGGAUAGAGCAGCGGUUUCCUAAACCGCGGGUCGUACGUUCAAUUCGUAUCGGGGGCACCA